GACGAACGCUGGCGGCGUGCUUAACACAUGCAAGUCGAACGGAAAGGCCCUGCUUUUGUGGGGUGCCCGAGUGGCGAACGGGUGCGUAACACGUGAGUAACCUGCCCUUGACUUUGGGAUAACUUCAGGAAACUGGGGUUAAUAUCGGAUAGGAGCUCCUGUUGCAUGGUGGGGGUUGGAAAGUCUCGGCGGUUGGGGUUGGACUCGCGGCUUAUCAGCUAGUUGGUUGGGUAGUGGCUUACCCAGGCUUUGACGGGUAGCCGGCCUGUGAGGGUGACCGGCCACAUUGGGACUGAGAGACGGCGCAGACUGCUACAGGAGACAGCAGUGGGGAAUAUUGCACAAUGAGCGGAAGCCUGAUGCGGCAGCGCCGGGGUCGGGAUGACGGCCUGCGGGGUGAGAACCGCUGUCGCCUAUGACGAAGCUGGAGUGACGGUAAUGAGUAAAGAAGCACCGGCUAACUACGUG
rnacentral:rRNA from 1 species